CUGCUCAUUCAGAAGAGGAGUUGGAGACGCUGCUGCUGCUGAGACUGGAGCGUGCCACUCAGAGCUACCGCAGGCUCCACCCCAAGCUCGCAGAGUGACGCCGACGGCCUGGCGCUGGGGGGAGCCGCCGGGGGUGGGGGCUACGCUACCAUGGCAACCGGUGGUGAGGUUCCUGCUUGCGAUGAGGCUCCACCUGUGCCUGCUCACCUCACUCCCUCCCGUCUACCGCACCCAGCUGCUCCACCAGGGUGGUGAGGUUCCUGCUUGCGAUGAGGCUCCACCUGUGCCUGCUCACCUCACUCCCUCCCGUCUACCGCACCCAGCUGCUCCACCAGGGUGGUGAGGUUCCUGCUUGCGAUGAGGCUCCACCUGUGCCUGCUCACCUCACUC